rnacentral:rRNA from 1 species
AUUGAACGCUGGCGGCAGGCCUAAAACAUGCCAGUCGAACGCGUGGCGGACGGGUGAGGAAUGUAUGGGAAACUGCCCGAUGGAGGGGGAUAACUAAUGGAAACGGUAACUAAUACAGCAUAACAUCGGCUAUUCCCUGAUGGGAUUAGCUAGUAGGUGGGGUAACGGCUAACCUAGGCGACGAUCCCUAGCUGGUCUGAGAGGAUGACCAGCCAAACUGGAACUGAGACACGGUCCAGACUCCUACGGGAGGCAGCAGUGGGGAAUAUUGCACAAUGGGCGCAAGCCUGAUGCAGCCAUGCCGCGUGUAUGAAGAAGGCCUUCAGGUUGUAAAGUACUUUCAGCGAGGAGGCGUUACUCGCAGAAGAAGCACCGGCUAACUCCGUGCCAGCAGCCGCGGUAAUAC